GUAAAAUACUGUUGAUAGUUUGGUGAAUUUACAAAUUUAUUUCUUUUAUCUUUUCAGGCAUUGUAGUCAAUCUAGAGAAAUUAGAAGAAGAACAGAAGAGACCCUGUCUGUGAAUGCUAAUGGAUAUGAUUCCAAUCAAAAACACUCCAGCCCUGAUACCUUCUGAAAUAAGGCUAUCACCAGAGCCCAGCCAAUGCCAACACUGUGCCUUUGAGCUUGAGGACGGUCAGUUAAACAAAGCUCUUUUCUUUAUCAAUUGUCCAGUUUUUGGUAUUUUUGUUAUAGUAAUAGAAGAGAGACGAAUGGGAGUCAUUUAAUUGAUACCAAUGGGUAUAAGG
rnacentral:lncRNA from 1 species